rnacentral:rRNA from 1 species
AGUGAACGCUGGCGGUAGGCCUAACACAUGCAAGUCGAACGGCAGCACAGUAAGAGCUUGCUCUUACGGGUGGCGAGUGGCGGACGGGUGAGGAAUACAUCGGAAUCUACUUUUUCGUGGGGGAUAACGUAGGGAAACUUACGCUAAUACCGCAUACGACCUACGGGUGACAGCAGGGGAUCUUCGGACCUUGCGCGAUUGAAUGAGCCGAUGUCGGAUUAGCUAGUUGGCGGGGUAAAGGCCCACCAAGGCGACGAUCCGUAGCUGGUCUGAGAGGAUGAGCAGCCACACUGGAACUGAGACACGGUCCAGACUCCUACGGGAGGCAGCAGUGGGGAAUAUUGGACAAUGGGCGCAAGCCUGAUCCAGCCAUACCGCGUGGGUGAAGAAGGCCUUCGGGUUGUAAAGCCCUUUUGUUGGGAAAGAAAAGCAGCAGGUUAAUACCCCGCUGUUCUGACGGUACCCAAAGAAUAAGCACCGGCUAACUUCGUG